UACGGAGGGUGCAAGCGUUAAUCGGAAUUACUGGGCGUAAAGCGCACGCAGGCGGCUGGUCAAGUCCGAUGUGAAAGCUUCCGGCUUAACUGGGAAAUUGCAUCGGAAACUGAUCGGCUUGAAGGUGGGAGAGGGUAGUGGAAUUCCCGGUGUAGUGGUGAAAUGCGUAGAUAUUCGGAAGAACACCAGUGGCGAAGGCGACUCACUGGACAUGUAUUGACGCUGAGGUGCGAAAGCGUGGGGAGCAAACAGG
rnacentral:rRNA from 1 species